UCCCUGGUGGCCUAGUGGUUAGAAUUCAGGCUUUCGCUGCCUUGGCCUAGGUUCAAUCCCUGGCCAGGGAA
rnacentral:tRNA from 1 species